rnacentral:rRNA from 1 species
UACAGAGGGUGCAAGCGUUGUUCGGAAUUAUUGGGCGUAAAGCGCGUGUAGGCGGCUUAGCAAGUCGGGCGUGAAAGCCCUCGGCUCAACCGAGGAAGUGCACCCGAAACUGCUGAGCUUGAGUGCCGGAGAGGAUGGCGGAAUACCCCAAGUAGAGGUGAAAUGCGUAGAGAUCCGGAGGAACACCAGAGGCGAAGGCGGCCUACUGGGCUGCACCUGACGCUGAGCCGCGAAAGCCAGGGGAGCGAACGGG